CUUUUGACAUGAAAACGGACCAAACAUAUGUACAAAAUAAGAAAAGUAGAAGGGUAAAAAGACGGCAAAAAUUCUUUUAAGCACUGGAAGGGAUGGAAUUUUUGAUGCCUUAAAUGGGUAAAUUUUGCACCUUAGUCCUUAGCUACGAACAGAAAAGAAGAAGGACGAGACGUAAUGGUAUAGAAGAGAGAGAGAGAGAGGGGGUAAAUGCCAAAGGGCAAAGACGUUUGGUAAUGAGUUGCAGCCAGGCAGAAUACCAAUGGCAAAUGAUUAUUCAUUAUUCAUCAGCCAGGCAGAAUACCAGGCAGAAUACCUAAAUUUGUACUCAUACUAGCUUUCAAAUAAUUCCAAAAUAUAGUUCAAAUACUCACCUUGCAGCUGUCCUACAUCAAGAAAACCAACCAAAAUUAAAUAAUUCAUCACACUUUAGCAUGAUAAUGUAUCAGGAGUGCUACCUUCAAUAAGAAAUUUUUAUU
rnacentral:misc_RNA from 1 species